AUCGAACGCUGGCGGCAUGCCUUACACAUGCAAGUCGAACGGUAACGCGGGGCAACCUGGCGACGAGUGGCGAACGGGUGAGUAAAGCAUCGGAACGUGCCCAGUAGUGGGGGAUAGCCCGGCGAAAGCCGGAUUAAUACCGCAUACGACCUACGGGUGAAAGCGGGGGACCGUCAGGCCUCGCGCUAUUGGCGCGGCCGGUGUCAGAUUAGGUUGUUGGUGGGGUAAAAGCCUACCAAGCCGACGAUCUGUAGCUGGUCUGAGAGGACGACCAGCCACACUGUGACUGAGACACGGCCCAGACUCCUACGGGAGGCAGCAGUGGGGAAUUUUGGACAAUGGGGGCAACCCUGAUCCAGCCAUGCCGCGUGCGGGAAGAAGGCCUUCGGGUUGUAAACCGCUUUUGCCAGGGAAGAAACGCUCUGGGCUAAUACCCCGGGGUAAUGACGGUACCUGAAGAAUAAGCACCGGCUAACUACGUGCCAGCCGCCGCGGUAAUAC
rnacentral:rRNA from 1 species